AAAGGGCUCGCAGGCGGUUUUUUAAGUUUGAUGUGAAAGCCCCCGGCUCAACCGGGGAGGGUCAUUGGAAACUGGGGAACUUGAGUGCAGAAGAGGAGAGUGGAAUUCCACGUGUAGCGGUGAAAUGCGUAGAGAUGUGGAGGAACACCAGUGGCGAAGGCGACUCUCUGGUCUGUAACUGACGCUGAGGAGCGAAAGCGUGGGGAGCGAACAGGAUUAGAUACCCUGGUAGUCCACGCCGUAAACGAUGAGUGCUAAGUGUUAGGGGGUUUCCGCCCCUUAGUGCUGCAGCUAACGCAUUAAGCACUCCGCCUGGGGAGUACGGUCGCAAGACUGAAACUCAAAGGAAUUGACGGGGGCCCGCACAAGCGGUGGAGCAUGUGGUUUAAUUCGAAGCAACGCGAAGAACCUUACCAGGUCUUGACAUCCUCUGACAAUCCUAGAGAUAGGACGUCCCCUUCGGGGGCAGAGUGACAGGUGGUGCAUGGUUGU
rnacentral:rRNA from 1 species